rnacentral:rRNA from 1 species
CGCGCAGGCGGUGAUUUAAGCGGGAUGUGAAAGGCUACGGCUCAACCGUAGACAUGCACCCUGAACUGGGUCACUUGAGUAUUGGAGAGGCAGGCAGAAUUCCUGGUGUAGCGGUGAAAUGCGUAGAUAUCAGGAGGAAUACCGGAGGCGAAGGCGGCCUGCUGGACAAAUACUGACGCUGAGGCGCGAAAGCGUGGGAGCAAACA